rnacentral:rRNA from 1 species
GCUCAGGACGAACGCUGGCGGCGUGCCUAAUACAUGCAAGUUGAGCGCUGAAGGUUGGUACUUGUACCAACUGGAUGAGCAGCGAACGGGUGAGUAACGCGUGGGGAAUCUGCCUUUGAGCGGGGGACAACAUUUGGAAACGAAUGCUAAUACCGCAUAAAAACUUUAAACACAAGUUUUAAGUUUGAAAGAUGCAAUUGCAUCACUCAAAGAUGAUCCCGCGUUGUAUUAGCUAGUUGGUGAGGUAAAGGCUCACCAAGGCGAUGAUACAUAGCCGACCUGAGAGGGUGAUCGGCCACAUUGGGACUGAGACACGGCCCAAACUCCUACGGGAGGCAGCAGUAGGGAAUCUUCGGCAAUGGACGAAAGUCUGACCGAGCAACGCCGCGUGAGUGAAGAAGGUUUUCGGAUCGUAAAACUCUGUUGGUAGAGAAGAACGUUGGUGAGAGUGGAAAGCUCAUCAAGUGACGGUAACUACCCAGAAAGGGACGGCUAACUACGUGCCAGCAGCCGCGGUAAUACGUAGGUCCCGAGCGUUGUCCGGAUUUAUUGGGCGUAAAGCGAGCGCAGGUGGUUUAUUAAGUCUGGUGUAAAAGGCAGUGGCUCAACCAUUGUAUGCAUUGGAAACUGGUAGACUUGAGUGCAGGAGAGGAGAGUGGAAUUCCAUGUGUAGCGGUGAAAUGCGUAGAUAUAUGGAGGAACACCGGUGGCGAAAGCGGCUCUCUGGCCUGUAACUGACACUGAGGCUCGAAAGCGUGGGGAGCAAACAGGAUUAGAUACCCUGGUAGUCCACGCCGUAAACGAUGAGUGCUAGAUGUAGGGAGCUAUAAGUUCUCUGUAUCGCAGCUAACGCAAUAAGCA